rnacentral:misc_RNA from 1 species
UUCGCAUGAUGAAGUUAGUUUUUUCACGAGGGUUGUGGGCAUUGUAACCGUCCAAACUUAAUGUCAGAUUUUUUAACAAAAUAUGUUCCCGUGUGCUGAUGAAAAAUUACUGAGCAUUAGAUUCAAGGUUAUCAUUGUAAAUCCGAUCUAAACCGCAUUGGGAAUCUUUGGAAAGUGCUAAAUCAACUGUUCGUAUUCAGGUAUUUUCUCAAACGGCGGAAUCGAUGUUUGUUUCACAGAAAGAAUGGACGAAGACGCCGAUUGAUGUCCGUUUGUAAACUCGGUGCCCUGCAAAUGCAAGCUAGGGUCAAAGGCAAAUGGCCAUGCUACUACAUAUUAAUAGAAAAAAUGCCUGCCA